AAUCAUAAGAUCACAGGGCAUUAGGGUUGGAGGGAACAACCUUGUCUCUCAGCCCUAAUUCCUUUGAUAUCAUUUAACGAAUGAUCUUAACUCUAGGCUAACAGCCGUCGAGCUCAGGCACACCAUUUGUUUGUUCAUCAUUGUAUUUGCAGGAUGUGGUAGCUAGCCCUCACAAUGGUGGCUGACGUGUGAUCAAUAGGCUAUGUCAUGGUAUUUCACUUCUAAGUCUAGGUCAUAAAGGGCAUUGUGGCACCUACCUUGAUUUCUCUUGGAUCACUCAUUCUGAGGGAAGAUAGCUGCCAUGUUGGGAGGAAGUGCAAGCAGCCCUGUGAAGAGGUCAACACAGGGGGGAACUGAAGCCCCUUCUGAACAGCUAGCACCAACUUUCCAGCCAUGUAAAGUGAUCCACCUUGGAAACAGAUCCUCCAGCCUCAGCCAAGCCUUCAGAUGCAACAGCUGUUAUCAUAGUAUGCCCUGUGCUCCCAGGAGGAGGCCGAGGUUUUCACGAAACCCAAAACCAGUGGUGAAGAUCUGGCAACCUUGUCAUCUGUUAGUGCUUCUGUGAUUGUGCUCUUCAUCAGGUCAUGAUUUUCUGCGAUUAUUUCUAUUUUCCCCAUCCUGUGGUCCUCUCUGCAAGCCCCUCUCUUUUAUUACCAUUUCAAUUUUCAUUUUCUGUAGCCUCAAAUCUUUGGUGAUGAAGAGGAGUACAUAUAAACAAAACCUAAACAAAUAAAUAAUGACAAUCUUUA